rnacentral:rRNA from 1 species
UGUGCCGUGAUAGUAAUUCAACCUAGUAUGAGAGGAACCGUUGAUUCACACAAUUGGACAUCGCACUGAGUUGAAAAGCCAAUGGUGUGAAGCUACCGUGCGCCGGAUUAUGACUGAACGCCGAAUCCAAGCUAGCAAGCGGCGCCUGCUGUCACACUCGGAGUUUUCCCAUUUCCGUAGUUUCCAAAUCAUUGCGAAAUCGUCUAUAGAAAAUACUUUGUUAAUCAGGAGAAAACUCUAAAUAACAAUGCGUUUAACAAUCGGAAUUGUUAGGGAGAUUUUUUUUUCGAAUUCUCUUUGUUUUAAAUCAUUAACUGGAUGUAUAGCGGAAUAUUCAGAGCAGAGGAAAUAACAAAAGUUAAUUUAAUUU